rnacentral:rRNA from 1 species
AUUGAACGCUGGCGGCAUGCCUUACACAUGCAAGUCGAACGGCAGCACGGGAGUAAUCCUGGUGGCGAGUGGCGAACGGGUGAGUAAUAUAUCGGAACGUGCCCAGUCGUGGGGGAUAACGCAGCGAAAGCUGUGCUAAUACCGCAUACGAUCUAAGGAUGAAAGCGGGGGAUCGCAAGACCUCGCGCGAUUGGAGCGGCCGAUAUCAGAUUAGCUAGUUGGUGGGGUAAAGGCCCACCAAGGCGACGAUCUGUAGCUGGUCUGAGAGGACGACCAGCCACACUGGAACUGAGACACGGUCCAGACUCCUACGGGAGGCAGCAGUGGGGAAUUUUGGACAAUGGGCGCAAGCCUGAUCCAGCAAUGCCGCGUGCAGGAUGAAGGCCUUCGGGUUGUAAACUGCUUUUGUACGGAACGAAACGGCCCUUUCUAAUACAGGGGGCUAAUGACGGUACCGUAAGAAUAAGCACCGGCUAACUACGUGCCAGCCGCCGCUGUAAUAC